rnacentral:rRNA from 1 species
AACCUUCGGGGAACGAUAACGGCGUCGAGCGGCGGACGGGUGAGUAAUGCCUAGGAAAUUGCCCUGAUGUGGGGGAUAACCAUUGGAAACGAUGGCUAAUACCGCAUGAUGCCUACGGGCCAAAGAGGGGGACCUUCGGGCCUCUCGCGUCAGGAUAUGCCUAGGUGGGAUUAGCUAGUUGGUGAGGUAAGGGCUCACCAAGGCGACGAUCCCUAGCUGGUCUGAGAGGAUGAUCAGCCACACUGGAACUGAGACACGGUCCAGACUCCUACGGGAGGCAGCAGUGGGGAAUAUUGCACAAUGGGCGCAAGCCUGAUGCAGCCAUGCCGCGUGUGUGAAGAAGGCCUUCGGGUUGUAAAGCACUUUCAGUCGUGAGGAAGGCGGUGUAGUUAAUAGCUGCAUCGUUUGACGUUAGCGACAGAAGAAGCACCGGCUAACUCCGUGCCAGCAGCCGCGGUAAUACGGAGGGUGCGAGCGUUAAUCGGAAUUACUGGGCGUAAAGCGCAUGCAGGUGGUUUGUUAAGUCAGAUGUGAAAGCCCGGGGCUCAACCUCGGAAUUGCAUUUGAAACUGGCAGACUAGAGUACUGUAGAGGGGGGUAGAAUUUCAGGUGUAGCGGUGAAAUGCGUAGAGAUCUGAAGGAAUACCGGUGGCGAAGGCGGCCCCCUGGACAGAUACUGACACUCAGAUGCGAAAGCGUGGGGAGCAAACAGGAUUAGAUACCCUGGUAGUCCACGCCGUAAACGAUGUCUACUUGGAGGUUGUGGCCUUGAGCCGUGGCUUUCGGAGCUAACGCGUUAAGUAGACCGCCUGGGGAGUACGGUCGCAAGAUUAAAACUCAAAUGAAUUGACGGGGGCCCGCACAAGCGGUGGAGCAUGUGGUUUAAUUCGAUGCAACGCGAAGAACCUUACCUACUCUUGACAUCCAGAGAACUUUCCAGAGAUGGAUUGGUGCCUUCGGGAACUCUGAGACAGGUGCUGCAUGGCUGUCGUCAGCUCGUGUUGUGAAAUGUUGGGUUAAGUCCCGCAACGAGCGCAACCCUUAUCCUUGUUUGCCAGCGAGUAAUGUCGGGAACUCCAGGGAGACUGCCGGUGAUAAACCGGAGGAAGGUGGGGACGACGUCAAGUCAUCAUGGCCCUUACGAGUAGGGCUACACACGUGCUACAAUGGCGCAUACAGAGGGCGGCCAACUUGCGAAAGUGAGCGAAUCCCAAAAAGUGCGUCGUAGUCCGGAUUGGAGUCUGCAACUCGACUCCAUGAAGUCGGAAUCGCUAGUAAUCGUGGAUCAGAAUGCCACGGUGAAUACGUUCCCGGGCCUUGUACACACCGCCCGUCACACCAU